rnacentral:rRNA from 1 species
UACGGGGGGGGUAAGCGUUGUUCGGAAUUACUGGGCGUAAAGGGCUCGUAGGCGGCCAACUAAGUCACACGUGAAAUCCCCAGGCUUAACCUGGGAACUGCGUGUGAUACUGGAUGGCUUGAAUUCGGGAGAGGGAUGCAGAAUUCCUGGUGUAGCGGUGGAAUGCGCAGAUAUCAGGAGGAACGCCGGUGGCGAAGGCGGUUCUCUGGGCAUUACCUGACGCUGAGGAGCGAAAGCGUGGGGAGCAAACAGG